UGGGGAAUCUUCCGCAAUGGACGAAAGUCUGACGGAGCAACGCCGCGUGAGUGAUGACGGCCUUCGGGUUGUAAAGCUCUGUUAAUCGGGACGAAUGGUUCUUGUGCGAAUAGUGCGAGGAUUUGACGGUACCGGAAUAGAAAGCCACGGCUAACUACGUGCCAGCAGCCGCGGUAAUACGUAGGUGGCAAGCGUUGUCCGGAAUUAUUGGGAGUAAAGCGCGCGCAGGCGGAUUGGUCAGUCUGUCUUAAAAGUUCGGGGCUUAACCCCGUGAUGGGAUGGAAACUGCCAAUCUAGAGUAUCGGAGAGGAAAGUGGAAUUCCUAGUGUAGCGGUGAAAUGCGUAGAUAUUAGGAAGAACACCAGUGGCGAAGGCGACUUUCUGGACGAAAACUGACGCUGAGGCGCGAAAGCCAGGGGAGCGAACGGG
rnacentral:rRNA from 1 species